rnacentral:tRNA from 1 species
GGCUCUGUGGCGGAAAGGCAGACGCGGCGGAUUUAAAAUCCGCUGUCCACACGGGCGUCCGGGUUCGACCCCCGGCGGGGCCACCA